rnacentral:rRNA from 1 species
GACGAACGCUGGCGGCGCGCUUAACACAUGCAAGUCGAACGGAAAGGCCUGCUUUCCCUUGUGGAUUGCGGGUACUCGAGUGGCGAACGGGUGAGUAACACGUGAGUGAUCUGCCCCCAACUUGGGUAUAAGCCUGGGAAACUGGGUCUAAUUCCCGAUAGGACUGCAGGGUGGUGCCUGUGGUGGAAAACGAUUUUCUAGUGGUUGGGGAUGAGCUCGCGGCCUAUCAGCUUGUUGGUGGGGUAAUGGCCUACCAAGGCGGCGACGGGUAGCCGGCCUGAGAGGGUGGACGGCCACAUUGAGACUGAGAUACGGCCCAGACUCCUACGGGAGGCAGCAGUGGGGAAUAUUGCACAAGGGGCGGAAGCCUGAUGCAGCGACGCCGCGUGGGGGAUGACGGCCUUCGGGUUGUAAACUCCUUUCGACCGCGAGGAAGCCACCUGGUUGGAAGGGUGGUGACGGUAGUGGUAGAAGAAGCACCGGCUAACUACGUG